CUGCUUUGCCUCGCAGCUGGAGAAGCCACCUCGCUUCCCCUCCACUCUACUGGGGUGACGAGAUAGCAACUGACGUCAGCUCGGGCUGAUUGCGUCACGACCGCAGGCAAAUCGCCGCUCUUGCCAAAGCGCUUCUUCUCUCGCCUUCUGGAAAGGCCUCCGGAUUCGGGUUCGGUCCAGGCGGCGGGGCUGGUGGCCCGCGUGUAAGCCGGGGCUUCCACCACACACCUCACUUCCGGCGGGGGACGGGGCGGGGGGGCGUGUGUCUGCACGAGGUCUCGCGUGAAGUGGCUCUGCGGGAGCGGGAGCGGGAGCGGGAGCGGGAGCGGGUGCGACGCACGCGGCGGCGCAGGCGUCGGCCGCCCCGAGACCCACCGACACCCUUCGGGAGGUCGCAGCAGGCCCGACGCUGCGGGGGCUUCCCUGGAACCGGGCUGUGCCCCCGCGGCCACGUGGGGAGGCGGCGGCAGAGCCCCUCGGAGCGCCGCGUGCCUCCCGGAGGACGGCGAGAGCCGCAGCCCCGGCGGCUGCUGGGCCGCGGAGGCGGCAAAAUUCUUGUGGCAACGAUGUUGAUGGGAAAGAUGCUUACAAUGAAAGUACCUGGAACCUAUAUUCUGAAUAAGUCCUAGCACUACUACUUUUUAGCUCCAACGACCUUUUUAUGGGAUUGAAAUUGUUAGUUUUAUGGGCCAAAAUGACAAGUGAAAGAAAACUUCUGGCUCCAAGGCAUAAGACCCAUUCAAGUUGAAAAAAACAAAGCUGGUUCUUGCUUUUAUAGCUAUGUUUGCUUUCAUAAAGUAUGAUGCCACAUUUUUAAAUCAUAAUAUUAUUAGCAUGUGAAUAAAUGGAAAGACUUCUAGAAAUACUUUGUCUUUUCUCUCCUUCUUCUUUCCCUCCUCCUUUUUUUUUAUCCUUAAUUUUUUCCUUAUCUUCCAUAUUCUCUUGAUUUUUUAAUUUUUCCCUUUGUAUUUUCUUCCAUUUUAUUUAUUAAUUUUGCUCUCUUUUUUGGAGGGGAUAAUAUAUUGCUAAGUAUUUCUUUGUUAUUUCAUUAUCUGGAAGAGGUUUUAUAUCUAUUCUAAGCAGUAUUAAAUGGAUGAGUCUCAUUUUUGCUUUUGUCCUUAUGUCCUCAGAGUCCUUCACUGUGCCACCAAAGAAUGGUGUCCUUGAAGGCAAAUGGGUGAGGAAAUUCAUUUUCUUUUGUCAAUAGCUGUGCUUCAAUUGACCUAUUUAGAUAUAGAGUACAAUUCCAAUUAUAGUAACUGUACAUGGCAAGACACAGACAUAUGCAGUGAAGUAUUAUCAUACAUUAAAAGCACUUGAUAGAGUAUACCUAGUCCAUAAUGUUGGUGAUGAUCCUGUUUUCCUCACUGGGAGUCUAAACUCUCCCUAGGAUAUGACACUUUGGAACUAUAAACUUUGUAACACAGCUGAAAACACGGAAGCCAGAACAGAUCACCAAGUGACUCAUGCUUACAACACCCAAGAGAGAAGAGCAACAGUAAUUGCCUCUAUUACUUCAACCUCAUUCAAAUCUUCCUUACUUGAUCUCAAGUAAGAGAGUAUUAAGUAUUGGCUCCUUUUUGGAGAGUUUGAUGUUUUACCCUCAAGAUGUUCUUGUCUAAGGCUUGAGAAGCCAAUUCUUGAGAAGAGCUUCCUGAAAGAAACAAAACUAGGUUUGAAGAAAGAAUGUGAAUGUUGUGUAUAAAGACUUGUAUUUUAGAAAUAACUUAGUGGUGUCUACUGGGUUCCUGAAACUUUCCUAUAAACCAGAACAUAUACAUUUCCUGCUAUGUGAGGGGUACAUUAAGCUCUGAGUUUAUUUUCCAUGGCUGGUUUAUCAGAAAACAGUAUGAAAUUAUUAAAAGACUCUCUCAAGCAGAAGAAGAAAAGGAAAGAAUGUACUAUGAAGGUUGGCAAGAAGGAUGACUUGGAGCUACUAAUUAAGAAUUCUUGCUCUCGGGGAUCCCUGGGUGGCUUAGCGGUUUAGCGUCUGCCUUCGGCCCAGGGCAUGAUCCUGGAGUCUUGGGAUCGAGUCCCACAUCAGGCUCCCUGCAUGGAGCCUGCUUCUCCCUCUGCCUGUGUCUCUGCCUCUCUCUCUCUCUGUCUCUGUCUCUCAUGAAUAAAUAAUAAAAUAAAAUCUUAAAAGAAAAAAGUGUGCUUUCUCUCCAUUCAAAUUUGUCUCUUCCUAGUGUAAAAUUCUCAUAUCUGAUGUGAGGAAGUCAAGGGGAAAAUGAAAAAACAAAAACAAGUAUCCUUAGCUGACUCUACUGGCUUCUUAACUGGUAAGUGGUUAUCUUCCAACUGACUAAAGUGAUGAUGUGAUUGUCAGAGAGUUGAACAGUGAGCAAAGACAACCUCAUUUAGAUAAGUGGAAAGCCGUUGGUGAGCAACUGCUAGGAAAACAAAG
rnacentral:lncRNA from 1 species